AGAGUUUGAUCCUGGCUCAGGAUGAACGCUGGCGGCGUGUCUAAGGCAUGCAAGUCGAAUGGGUUUAGACCCAUGGCAAACGGGAGCGUAACACAUUGGUAACCUGCCUCGAAGUUCGGAAUAACCCAGCGAAAGUUGGGAUAAUACCGGAUGUGCUCGUUCCGCAAAUGCGGAAUGAGUAAAGAUUUAUCGCUUCGAGAGGGGCCUAUGACCUAUCAGCUAGUUGGCGGAGUAAAAGCCCACCAAGGCUCUGACGGGUAGCGGGUGUGAGAGCACGACCCGCCUCACUGGGACUGAGAUACUGCCCAGACACCUACGGGUGGCUGCAGUCAAGAAUAUUCCUCAAUGGACGAAAGUUCCUGAAGGAGCGACGCCGCGUGACUGAAGAAGUCCUUCGGGAUGUAAAGGUCUUUUCUCCGGGACGAAAUCUGACGGUACCGGAGGAAUAAGAGGUUGCUAACUCUGUGCCAGCAGCCGC
rnacentral:rRNA from 1 species